CCGUUCAGGGGUAAAUGGGUGACCUCCUGGAUUCGAAAGGGAGUUGUGGAUGAAGUUUGGUCGAGGGUCCUUUUCCUACCUUAUUCUGCGGAGUAACGGGAAGAUGGAGAGGGAAACUCCUAAGCUGCCUAUCUUCCCCGGUAGAUAUGUUGUGACAUGUUGGGAGUCAGUCUAAGGCCCGGGGUGGUAGCCCGUGAGUCGUAGCCAGUGAGCCAAAAGACGAGCGGACCCCUGGUGACCCGGCUGAAGCCAGACAGUAAUGGUGGAGACAACCCGCUAGUUGAGGACUAGGCACGGUGCGUCGAAAAGCGACUCCGUACAGUGAGCUUUGGUUGAGGUUACGGCUUCCCUUAGUGAUCUCGGUGGCGUAAUUCGUCUGGGUUAGUCUCUGUUGCAGCGAGAUCUUCGGAUCGUCACCCGUCCCGUCUUGAAACACGGACCAAGGAGUCUAACAUGUGCGCAAGUCAUUGGGACUUGCAAAACCUAAAGGCGAAAUAAAAGUGAUGGCUUGUUGGCCAAGGGAAGAUGGUGGCAGUGAGCUCGCAAACAGAGUGUCGCGCACCCGCAUUCCCGGGGCUCCUUAAUCUCCCUGUGUGGAGUGGUGCACCCAGAGCGUACAUGUUGGGACCCGAAAGAUGGUGAACUAUGCCUGGCCAGGAUGAAGUCAGGGGAAACCCUGAUGGAGGUCCGAAGCGAUUCUGACGUGCAAAUCGAUCGCAUGAGCUGGGUAUAGGGGCGAAAGACCAAUCGAACCAUCUAGUAGCUGGUUCCCUCCGAAGUUUCCCUCAGGAUAGCUGUCACUCGGAGAAAAAAAUGUGAAUCUCAUACGGUCAAGCGAAUGAUUAGAGGCCGUGGGGUCGAAAUGAUUUCACCCUAUUCUCAAACUUUAAAUGUGUGAGACCUUUGGUUUGCAAAACUGAAGCUCAAGUUGGAUGGAGAGUGACUAGUGGGCCACUUCUGGUAAGCAGAACUGGCGAUGUGGGAUGAACCAAACGCUGAGUUAAGGCGCCUAAACGAUGCUAUAGAGCGACCUGGGGAAGGUUGGUAGUUUGCUCAAGACAGCAGGACGGUGGCCAUGGAAGUUGGAAUCCGCUAAGGAGUGUGUAACAACUCACCUGCCGAAGCAAGCAGCUCUAAAAAUGGAUGGCGCUCAAGCAUUGUGCCUAUACUCGGCCGUCAGCGGCAGUGAGGGUUUCUGGGACUUGUUCCUGGAGCCUGAAAAGGCCCUGACGAGUAGGAGGGUGCGGCGGUGAGCGUAGAAGGGUGGGCGUGAGCCUGCCUGGAGCCACCGUUGGUACAGAUCUUGGUGGUAGUAGCAAAUACUGUUGAAAGUCGCCUUGGAGCAGAUGCGGAGAAGGGUUUCGUGUCAACAGCGAUUGACCACGAGUGAGUCGUUCCUAAGCCCUAUGUGAAAGUUGGUGCCAAUAGGAAGUCCAUGAAGUGAACACUUGGAUUAUUGGCGGGCGAAAGGGAAUCUGUUAAAAAUUCCAGAACCAGACACGGAAUCGUCUCAGCUCCUCGUGUGAUCUGUCGGGGUAACCCGAAAUGACCUGGAGAAGCUGUCGGGAGAUCUGGGCAGAGUUUUCUUCUCUGUUUUAGUGUUCGUAGUCCCUGGAAUCCUCUAGAAGGGAGAUAGGGAAUGGAGCGCGCAGAGCACCGCAUUUACUGUGGUGUCCAGAAUUUCCCCUCGGACCUUGAAAAUCCAGGGGAGGGCAACGUGAGACAUUUCGUGUC
rnacentral:rRNA from 1 species